UACGGAGGAUCCAAGCGUUAUCCGGAUUUAUUGGGUUUAAAGGGUGCGUAGGUGGCCUGUUAAGUCAGGGGUGAAAGACGGUAGCUUAACUAUCGCAGUGCCUUUGAUACUGACGGGCUUGAAUACACUAGAGGUAGGCGGAAUGUGACAAGUAGCGGUGAAAUGCAUAGAUAUGUCACAGAACACCAAUUGCGAAGGCAGCUUACUAUGGUUUUAUUGACACUGAGGCACGAAAGCGUGGGGAUCAAACAGG
rnacentral:rRNA from 1 species